rnacentral:lncRNA from 1 species
UGGAGCUGGCAUGUCAGUUAACUGCUAGUAGUCUGUUGUUAUUUAUGUAUUAUUGUCAUUUUAUUUAUUUUCUUUUGUUACAUCUUUUGACAUCGGACUCGGACUUCUCUUGAACUGAAUUUUAAUGUGCGUAUUGUUAUGCGUUUACUUUUCUACAUUGGCUAGAUGUAUAGGGGAGGGUUGAGAUCUCAUAAACAUGUUUUACCCCGCCGCAAUUUUGAGCCUGUCCCAAGUCAGGAGCCUCUGGCCUUUGUUAGUCUUGUAUGAUUUUUAAUUUUAGUUUCUUGUGUAUAAUUCGGAGUUUAGUAUGACGUCCAUUAUCACUGUACUAGUAUACAUAUUUUUAGGGGCCAGCUGAAGGACACCUACGGGUGCGGAAAUAUUCGCUACAUUAAAGACCCAUUGGUGGCCUUCGGCUGUUGUCUGCUCUAUGGUCGGAUUGUUGUCGCUUUGACACAUUCCCCAUUUCCUUUCUCAAUUUUAUU